AGCCUGCGAAAAGCUCCGGGGAGGCGGCAAAUAUCCUGUGAUCCGGAGAUGUCUGAAUGGGGAAACCCACCGGCUAUAAGGUCGGUAUCAUAAACUGAAUACAUAGGUUUAUGAGGCGAACGCGGAGAAGUGAAACAUCUCAGUAUCCGUAGGAAAAGAAAUCAAUUGAGAUUCCCUCAGUAGCGGCGAGCGAAAGGGGAACAGCCCAUUAAGUCAUAUCAGUUUUAGUGGAAUGCUCUGGGAAGUGCAACCAUAGUGGGUGAUAGUCCUGUACACGAAAGGGCUGAUAUGAUGAUGUCGAGUAGGGCGAGGCACGUGAAACCUUGUCUGAAUAUAGGGGGACCAUCCUCUAAGGCUAAAUACUCCUGACUGACCGAUAGUGAACCAGUACCGUGAGGGAAAGGCGAAAAGAACCCCUGUGAGGGGAGUGAAAUAGAUCCUGAAACCGCAUGCAUACAAGCAGUGGGAGCCACUUUGUGUGGUGACUGCGUACCUUUUGUAUAAUGGGUCAGCGACUUAUAUUCAGUAGCGAGGUUAACCGAAUAGGGGAGCCGUAGAGAAAUCGAGUCUUAAUAGGGCGUAUAGUUGCUGGGUAUAGACCCGAAACCGGGUGAUCUAUCCAUGAGCAGGUUGAAGGUUGGGUAACACUAACUGGAGGACCGAACCCACUGUCGUUGAAAAGCCAGGGGAUGACUUGUGGAUAGGGGUGAAAGGCUAAUCAAACUCGGUGAUAGCUGGUUCUCCCCGAAAGCUAUUUAGGUAGCGCCUCGGACGAAUACCAUUGGGGGUAGAGCACUGUUUCGGCUAGGGGGGUCAUCCCGACUUACCAAACCGAUGCAAACUCCGAAUACCAAUGAGUACUAUCCGGGAGACAGACUGCGGGUGCUAACGUCCGUAGUCAAGAGGAAAACAAUCCAGACCGCCAGCUAAGGUCCCUAAAUCAUAGUUAAGUGGGAAACGAUGUGGGAAGGCAUAGACAGCUAGGAGGUUGGCUUAGAAGCAGCCACCCUUUAAAGAAAGCGUAAUAGCUCACUAGUCGAGUCGGCCUGCGCGGAAGAUGUAACGGGGCUAAAACUAUGUACCGAAGCUGCGGAUUUGCAAUUUAUUGCAAGUGGUAGGGGAGCGUUCUGUAAGCCGAUGAAGGUGGAUUGAGAAGUCUGCUGGAGGUAUCAGAAGUGCGAAUGCUGACGUGAGUAACGACAAAACGGGUGAAAAACCCGUUCGCUGAAAGACCAAGGGUUCCAGUCCAACGUUAAUCGGGGCUGGUGAGUCGACCCCUAAGGCGAGGCCGAGAGGCGUAGUCGAUGGGAAAUUGGUUAAUAUUCCAAUACUUCAGUGUAAUGCGAUGAGAGGACGGAGAAGGUUAAGUCAGCCUGGCGUUGGUUGUCCAGGUGGAAGACAGUAGGCAUGCAUCUUAGGC
rnacentral:rRNA from 1 species